rnacentral:snRNA from 1 species
GCGGUCUACCAUUGCAGCUUU